rnacentral:tRNA from 1 species
CGUCCCAUAGUUUAAUGGAUAAAACGAGCGUUUCCUAAACGCUUGAUACAAGUUCGAUUCUUGUUGGGACGA